GCUACAGCAACAGCAUCAACAACAGUGGAGCAUCAGUGCACAACAGCAGCAACUUCAACAGCAUACUCUUUCAAAUCAACAGUCUCAGACUUCAAAUCAUAGCAUGCACCAGCAAGAUAAAGUAGGGAGGCGGUGGUAGUGUCACCGUGGGAAGAAAAAAGUUGCUUGUAUCAGAUUUUACUCAUGGUGAGGAGUUUACAUAUAUUCUAUUCUUUUGAAUUUCAUUUUGGACUUUGAUAUACCUUUCACUCUUCAAAAUUAGGAUUUCUACUCAUGGGGGAACAACCUCUCCCGUUCGAGGAUCAUGCAAUUCCGGCUGCUGACGACGACGAGGACUACACUGGCGGCAAUGAUUGCAUGAAUGAAUUGGAGUGUUCGGAUUCCAAAUUGUUGAUAUUUUUUAUCGACUCAAAUGACAAUGGGAAAAUGAAAGCAAGCUUCUUCUGGAGCUGCCAAUAGCACUGAUACUGGAAUUUAUGAACUUGGUGAUAGCAGCAAACAAAGAUAUUAUGGAUAUGACAACUUAAUAGAUCAUGUAUUGAUUGCCUUAGAUGAUGGAAGAUGAUUGUAAGAUGACAAGAGGCAGAUCCCUUUCGUUGUUUUAGAUUUGUUUUCUUGCAUAUUUGAUUUUAUAAUUCUGUUGUAAUUUGAUUGUUAUAUAUUGAUUGCCUUGGAUGAUGGAAUAGUCAUAAAAAUCUAAAUAUUGUUAUUGUUAUA